rnacentral:pre_miRNA from 1 species
CGGGGAAGGCUGGGUCCUGGGCUGUGUCCCGGCGCCCUGUGCUCCGGAGCCUGCGCUGUUGGAUUCGCGCUCCCGCCCCGCAGCCCCCU